rnacentral:tRNA from 1 species
GCGGCCGUCGUCUAGCCUGGUUAGGACGCUGGCCCCCCGAGCCAGUGGUCGCGGGUUCAAAUCCCGCCGGCCGCA